rnacentral:antisense_RNA from 1 species
UUUCAGCGAACCCAGCCACACCGGGCGGUCCGCGGCCCGGUCCUGUCCAUAGGUCGCCAGCACCGCCUGCGCCUC